AUAUUACAGUAUCAAUCGGAUUUACAUGCUCAGCCGCCAAAAA
rnacentral:sRNA from 1 species